AUUACCCAAUACUGACACGGGGAGGUAGUGACAAGAAAUAACAAUACAGGGCAAUUGUCUUGUAAUUGGAAUGAUGGUGACGUAAAAUCUCACCAGAGUAACAAUUGGAGGGCAAGUCUGGUGCCAGCAGCCGCGGUAAUUCCAGCUCCAAUAGCGUAUAUUAAACUUGUUGCAGUUAAAAAGCUCGUAGUUGAAUUUCUGCGUUGCCCGACUCGGCUACUUGCCUUGCCUGGUUUCGCUUUUGGGGUUUUCCCCUUUUUACUUUGAGAAAAUUAGAGUGUUUCAAGCAGACUUGUGUCUUGAAUACUUCAGCAUGGAAUAAUAAAGUAGGACUUUGGUUCUAUUUUGUUGGUUUGUGAACCUUAGUAAUGGUUAAUAGGAACGGUUGGGGGCAUUCGUAUUUAA
rnacentral:rRNA from 1 species